GAUAUAAAGAAGCAUGGCCGACUCGGGAUGUUGAUAUUUUUUCAACGGCUUAUUUCCUGAAGUUUUGAAUGGAAAGUGUCAGAAAUGGUGCCAGGGCAAUGUUUCAUAGAGUGGAAUGAUUGACCUCAACACAAGUAUUAAAAAAAAAAAAAGAAGCAAAACAGGUCUACAUCUCAAAACCUGAUCUCUUCCUGGACUGGCUUUAGGAGAACGAUGAUGCAUAUCAAUUUCAUCCCUGAUCUCUAUGACACCUGUGGUGGAAGUGGAGGGCAAAUCGUAAUCAGUUUGGGUUCCAGUCCCGAGGACCUCUGUAAACUUUGCUUUUUGGUGAUGACUUAAUUUCCGAGCUUGAAAAGGACGCUUGUGUGUUUAUCAUGGCCUCUCAUAUUGGAAGAUAACAUUAAUGGCUUGUGUGUUGAUCGACGGUUGUGCAUAUCUCUUGGUCAGGAAAGUUGUAGGCACCAUCGCCAUUGUAAAUCAUUUGACAGGCCCGAGUGAACGGGGCGACCUAUGAUUGGUCAGCAAUGUAUCAUAUUCCAUACCGGGGGGUGGGGAUGAAAAAACUGUUGUAGUGUUACAUAAUCAGAUUAUUUCAA